UGGGGAAUUUUGGACAAUGGGCGCAAGCCUGAUCCAGCCAUGCCGCGUGCAGGAUGAAGGCCUUCGGGUUGUAAACUACUUUUGUACGGAACGAAAAGACUCCUUCUAAUAAAGGGGGUCCAUGACGGUACCGUAAGAAUAAGCACCGGCUAACUACGUGCCAGCAGCCGCGGUAAUACGUAGGGUGCGAGCGUUAAUCGGAAUUACUGGGCGUAAAGCGUGCGCAGGCGGUUAUGUAAGACAGAUGUGAAAUCCCCGGGCUCAACCUGGGACCUGCAUUAGUGACUGCAUAGCUAGAGUACGGCAGAGGGGGAUGGAAUUCCGCGUGUAGCAGUGAAAUGCGUAGAUAUGGGGAGGAACACCGAUGGCGAAGGCAAUCCCCUGGGCCUGUACUGACGCUCAUGCACGAAAGCGUGGGGAGCAAACA
rnacentral:rRNA from 1 species